AUUUAGAUAGCUUAAACUAGAGCAUGACGUUGAAGUUGUUAAGGUAAAAACAUUUUUCUGAAUA
rnacentral:tRNA from 1 species